rnacentral:rRNA from 1 species
UACGAAGGGGGCGAGCGUUGUUCGGAAUUACUGGGCGUAAAGGGCGCGUAGGCGGUGUGUCAAGUCAGGCGUGAAAGCCCCGGGCUCAACCUGGGAACGGCGCUUGAGACUGGCACGCUCGAGUUCGGGAGAGGAUGGUGGAAUUCCCGGUGUAGAGGUGAAAUUCGUAGAUAUUGGGAAGAACACCGAUGGCGAAGGCAGCCAUCUGGACCGACACUGACGCUGAGGCGCGAAAGCGUGGGGAGCAAACAGG